rnacentral:rRNA from 1 species
AUUGAACGCUGGCGGCAUGCCUUACACAUGCAAGUCGAACGGCAGCACGGGAGUAAUCCUGGUGGCGAGUGGCGAACGGGUGAGUAAUAUAUCGGAACGUGCCCAGUCGUGGGGGAUAACGCAGCGAAAGCUGUGCUAAUAGCGCAUACGAUCUAAGGAUGAAAGCGGGGGAUCGCAAGGCCUCGCGCGAAUGGAGCGGCCGAUAUCAGAUUAGCUAGUUGGUGGGGGAAAGGCCCACCAAGGCGACGAUCUGCAGCUGGUCUGAGAGGACGACCAGCCACAAUGGAACUGAGCCACGGUCCAGACUCCUACGGGAGGCAGCAGUGGGGAAUUUUGGACAAUGGGCGCAAGUCGGAUCCAGCAAGGCCGCGUGCAGGAUGAAGGCCUUCUGGUUGUAAACUGCUUUUGUACGGAACGAAACGGCCCUUUCUAAUACAGGGGGCUAAUGACGGUACCGUAAGAAUAAGCACCGGCUAACUACGUGCCAGCCGCCGCGGUAA